UACGUAGGCAGCGAGCGUUGUUCGGAGUUACUGGGCGUAAAGAGUGCGUAGGCGGUUUUCUAAGUUUGGUGUGAAAUCUCCCGGCUUAACUGGGAGGGUGCGCCGAAAACUGGAAGGCUUGAGUAUGGGAGAGGUAAGCGGAAUUCCUGGUGUAGCGGUGAAAUUCGUAGAUAUCGGGAGGAACACCAAUGGCGAAGGCAGCUUGCUGGGACGGUACUGACGCUGAGACGCGAAAGCGUGGGGAGCAAACAGG
rnacentral:rRNA from 1 species